rnacentral:misc_RNA from 1 species
CGCUCAUGCCCACGCUCUUGCAGGGUAUGCCUUCCACUACCGUUCACCAUGGCCCUGUGCGAGCAUGCACGCGCGCAUGCGUGUGUGUGAGCGAAAGGGAGAAGCGACGGCGUACAGCGGAGAAAAGGGAGACAUAUACGUGUAUGCACAUCGCGGUAAAACGGACGACACAGAUGAGGGUUACACAAGGACGGCAUUGAGGAUCGCUUGGAUGCAGUGGGACGGAAUGCCUGUGACGUCCUCACACACCCACCCACACAAAAGCAAAACAAAAAGGCGUCUGUGUUGUGAGCGUUUUCGUUUUGUGGUCCUCUCCGAGCUUCCCCUCCGCGUCUUCUUUGCAAGCAAAAAAGACCAGGAAGGCAAAAGAGGCAAACACCCACCCGGGCGGACACACCGGCAAACGCCUGCGCGUUAUCACUGGUAGGCAACCGUAACGGUAAGGCCACAGAAAGGGGGGCGGGGGUGGGAUGGAUAGGAGGGGGAAAAGGCGAGGCGCGCCUGAGAAAGAAGCGCAGCGGGCGCACAAUGCAACAGCUACAAAGCCGGCAGAAAAUAAGCAAGGGCUAACGAAAGACAAGCAAACGACUCCUUUAGCCUAACGCAACAAAAAGCAAGAAGGGACACGAAAAAAAAAGCAAAAAAGGAAAACAGACGAAAGCGGCGAAAAAAGACCAAGGCUGCGAUAAGCUGAUGAAGCAGCGCGGGGAGCAGCAAAAAUAGAAGAACAAAUGCGUCUGUGCAGGUGCUCGACUGCGCGCACUUCUCUUUCUCGAUGUUUUCGCGUGUUUCACCUUCUUCUACAUUGCUCUCUGCUUGUUUCACAUGAGUGCGAGCGUGUGCGUGCAUGCGCUUCUUUCUGUAAGUUUUUUACUGUCGCUUUUUCAGCUUCAAGGCGUUUUUCUUUCUCCUGUGCUUACUCCUACGCUCACAUAAAUAUGUGAUCUUGUCGAAAGACCGACACCGGCAGGGACGCUCCUAUGAAGGCCUGUGGUGUACGCUUCUGGGCACCGAACUUCCUACUCGUAGAAGAUGCCACCCUCUUUCCGUACAGCCUCGUACACGCACAACAUUCCGCAGAGUUAUAUGCACGCAAGCAGUUUCGAUUUCACGCGCGAGCACAUGUGAUAAAACAGCGCGCGCGCACACACACGCACACACACACACAAACACCAGGCAAGCAACACAAAACAAACGUAAAGCGGACAUAAGACAACAGAAAGCCACAAAAGGGGAGAUGCGUCUGUGUUGGGGGAAGGGGUGCCUUUCAUCCAUCUACGCCUACGCAUGUGUCUGCCUGUCCUUUUUUUUUCUGCACCUUCUUAUUUCAAGUUAUCUCACUUCGCUUUCUUUUUCUUUUGGUUUUGCACGCCCUUCAGUGUCCUCAUUCUCUAAGCUACUCUUCUUGCCCCCGAUCAAACUCUCUCUUUGUGCGCUGCGUGAAGACCUUGUGUGCAGUAUGGUAAAAUUUCUUUUUUUUUCACUCUGGCGGUCGAUGGCACUCAUGCUUGUCGUUGUUCUUGUAGAAGAUGUAAGCAUGUCGAAAAAGAGCGGGCGGGUGUUGGAGGACUUGCAGUAAGUCAUGUGCGUGCAUCGUUUUGCGUUGCAUCUUUUCUUUGUGACACUUCAUACGCCACCUAAACAGCCCUUAGAUGCCUUGAUACCCGCAGUGCAUCACACGCACUCGAGGAACGCUCAUACCAACAUGCCCACUCACCCAUACGUGCACAGCCGAACGGCGCAUGCAAAGAGAAGCAGAGACAGAGAGACAGGAGAGGAAUGAGCAGCAGGUGUAACACGUCGGCGAGGAGCACCGACGCUCUUGCUAUUGCCGUGUAGAGACGAAAAUUUUGCUCCUAGAACACACAACAAAGAGAGCGGGAGGGGAGGGGGAGCGGCGUGGGUGUUGUGCUUCGGUAAUGCUGUGAUCUUAUUUGUUUUCUCUUUGGCGUCGAAGACCACGUAAAGGAGUGGGAAGCAGCAGAAAAAUCAAUGGCCACAACGUCACUUCUUUCCUCUCGGCUGCCCUCUCUUUUCGUCACAGAACACACCUACGCUUGCAGCGUUGCGGCUAAGUUGGUGGAGGGUAUGCGCGCGUGUGCUUGUGUGCGUGCUCUGUGGCUCUUUGCCCUCGAUUUGUGCUUCCUCUUCUCGCCGGGCUUACCACUUUUUUUUUGUUUCGUUCUCUAUCAG